rnacentral:rRNA from 1 species
GACGAACGCUGGCGGCGUGCUUAACACAUGCAAGUCGAACGGAAAGGCCCUGCUUGCAGGGUACUCGAGUGGCGAACGGGUUAGUAACCCGUGGGUGAUCUGCCCUGCACUUCGGGAUAAGCCUGGGAAACUGUGUCUAAUACCGGAUAGAAUCCAUCUUUAGUGUGAUGAUUGCAAAGUUUUUUCGGUGUAGGAUGAGCUCGCGGGCUAUCAGCUUGUUGGUGGGGGAAUGGCCUACUAAGGCGGCGACGGGUAGCCGGCCUUGGGGGGUGGACGGCCACAUUGGGACUCAGAGACGGACCAGACUCGUACCGGAGGCAGCAGAGGAGAGUCUUACAGAAUGGGCGCGAGCCUGAUGCAGCGGCGCCGCGUGGGGGAUGACGGACUUCGGGUUGAAAACGCCUUUCGCUAGGGACGAAGCUUUUUGUGACGGUACCUAGACAAAAAGCACCGGCUAACUACGUG